rnacentral:misc_RNA from 1 species
GCUCGUUUUUCUCUGUACACUGCCAAAAUUAUUGUGAUUUCUGUAGAAGAGGGGAGGGGAUUGUAAAUCCAAAGAGUUUGAUUCUGGCGUUUAUCUGCUAAUCGAUCUUGCUUAUUCCCAUACGCUUAACCACAGCGUUUCUGAUGGCAUCGGUAUGCAAAUGCCAACCGUUAUGCUCAAUUCCAGACAUGUACUUCCUCACUUCGAUUUUAAUCAUCUCCUGCAUCGCACUUAAGAACUCUGCACUAAAUAACUCCGAUUCCUUGCCAUGCCCACCGUUAGUAGGAAUUGCCUGAACCAUCUUCCGGGUCGGGCUCGCGAUUGAUUCCGACCCAUACCCGGAUAUCGAAUUGGAUCCUGGCAAUGAGAGGCAAAGCGAAGUAGGAGGAUCGUAGGAGUUCACAAUCUGCUGAUGAUUCGAUGGAACAAUCGAACUGCUUCUAGCUAAGGGUCUGUACACGGGCUGUGGUGGCGGUGGCGAUGGAGAUGAGUCGCUCAAGUCGGAUCCAGAUGGACUACUCGGGUUCAACCCAAACCCGGAAGUGACGGUGACUGGACCCGGACCAACGCUGGCAGAUCUUUUGAGAGGCUGAUGCAAAUCCGGAUCGUUGAAAUCAUCACCCAUGGCGGAGCAUUUACGCUUAAGCGUCGAAUUCCAGUGAUUCUUGAUCGCGUUAUCGGUGCGGCCAUUCAAAAGACGAGCAAUGGUGGCCCACUUAUUACCAAACUUGGCGUGAGCUUUGAUAAUGGCGUCAUCCUCUUCAGCAGUAAACGGGCGGUGUUCCACCUGAGGAGAAAGCUGAUUACACCAUCGGAGACGGCAAGAUUUCCCAGAACGACCAGGA